rnacentral:rRNA from 1 species
AUACAGGUCUCUUUCGAGGCCCUGUAAUUGGAAUGAGCGUAUCCUAAACCCAUGGGCGAGGACCCAUUGGAGGGCAAGUCUGGUGCCAGCAGCCGCGGUAAUUCCAGCUCCAAUAGCGUAUAUUAAAGUUGCGCAGUUAAAAAGCUCGUAGUUGGAACCUUGGGCCUGGCUGGCCGGUCCGCCUCACCGCGUGUACUGGUCCGGCCGGGCCUUUCCCUCUGUGGAACCCCAUGCCCUUCACUGGGUGUGGCGGGGAAACAGGACUUUUACUGUGAAAAAAUUAGAGUGUUCAAAGCAGGCCGCAGCCCGCCUGAAUAUCUCAGCUAGGAAUAAUGGAAUAGGACUCCGGUUCUAUUUUGUGGGUUUCCGGAACCCGGGGCCAUGAUUGAGAGGGACGGCCGGGGGCAUUCGUAUUGCGCCGCUAGAGGUGAAAUUCUUGGACCGGCGCAAGACGGACGAGAGCGAAAGCAUUUGCCAAGAGUCGGGGGCAUCAGUAUUCAAUUGUCAGAGGUGAAAUUCUUGGAUUUAUUGAAGACUAACUACUGCGAAAGCAUUUGCCAAGAAUGUUUUCAUUAAUCAGGAAGAAAGUUGGGGGCUCGAAGACGAUCAGAUACCGUCGUAGUUCCGACCGUAAACGAUGCCGACCCGCGAUCCGGCGGCGUUAUUCCCAUGACCCGCCGGGCAGCGUGCGGGAAACCACGAGUCUUUGGGUUCCGGGGCGCGAUCCGGCGGCGUUAUUCCCAUGGACUCCGCCGGCACCUUAUGAGAAAUCAAAGUCUUUGGGUUCCGGGGGGAGUAUGGUUGCAAAGCUGAAACUUAAAGGAAUUGACGGAAGGGCACCACCAGGAGUGGAGCCUGCGGCUUAAUUUGACUCAACACGGGAAACCUCACCCGGCCCGGACACGGAAAGGAUUGACAGAUCGAUAGCUCUUUCUCGAUUCUGUGGGUGGUGGUGCAUGGCCGUUCUUAGUUGGUGGAGCGAUUUGUCUGGUUAAUUCCGAUAACGAACGAGACUCCGGCAUGCUAAAUAGUUACGCGGCCCCGCGCGGUCGGCGUCCAACUUCUUAGAGGGACAAGUGGCUCUCAGCCACGCGAGAUGGAGCAAUAACAGGUCUGUGAUGCCCUUAGAUGUCCGGGGCUGCACGCGCGCUACAAUGAAAAUAUCAACGUGUAUUUCCUAGACCGAGAGGUCCGGGUAAACCGCUGAACCAUUUUCAUGCUUGGGAUUGUGAACUGCAACUGUUCACAUGAACUUGGAAUUCCUAGUAAGUGUGAGUCAUUAACUCGCAUUGAUUACGUCCCUGCCCUUUGUAACACACCGCCGUCGCUCCUAGCGAUU